GUUCUUGUAGUUGAAUACAACAAUGGUAUUUCAAGCCAUAGGUCUCGGUUAAAGUCCGGGCAGGAAUU
rnacentral:tRNA from 1 species